GGAUGGUCACCCUCGAAGUUUGCGCCCUUCGACAGAUCAAGCGAUUCGGCUGAUGAGGAAUCGGAUCAGCCGAGUUCGAAAACCUUUACUGUAGAAUCGGUUCGGCUGGAGGUGCCGGAUGUAUGAACUGUGUAGGGACCAAUGUCGGCAGAAGAACCGAAUGGAAGAAGUACACAGUAACUGGUCGGCUGAAAGAGUCGAAUAAAUGAAAUACACAAUGACUAGCCGGCUGAAAGAGCCGAAUGGAAAAAGUACACAAUGACUGGUCGGCUGAAAGAGUCGAAUACCUUUAUAUAAUAAUAAAAAAGAGUGUGCACGAAGGGCAUACAGACUCAGAAAUAUAGUUUACAAUAGAGUAAUGCCCAUGGGGCAGACAGACUCUGCAAAUGUAGUCUACAACGGAGUGAUGCCCGUCGGGCAGACAAACUCUGCAAAUAUAGUCUACAACGGAGUGAUGCCUGUAGGGCAGACAGACUCCAGGGUUCUACUUAGCGAACUACUCCUAGGAAAGUAGUAAAUGCGGAAAAAAAAAAGAUUACAUUUGGACUACUCCUAGAAAAGCGAUAAAUGCAGAGGAAAUAAGGGUGGUCUUCUCGUUCAGAAUGGAGAAAGACCUUUAUUACAGGCUUUGAAGUUACUAUUUAUAGUAAUGUCUUCUCAGCCCACAUUAUUGGUCGGUUGAAAGUAGUGGGGGGAGUGGUUGUAACCAUGAUCGUGGAAGUUACGCCCACUCCUCAUGGAAGUUACGCCCUAUCGUGGAAGUUAUGCCCCACGUCUCAACCGUUCCCGCCUAAAACCUUCAGGCGCCUUACUGCCGACUCUUAGUGUACCACGUGUCCUUAUUGGCUCAUACGUGGGUUAGGUCGGCAUGUUAAUUUCAAUUUUGGCAUCAACCAAUCCGCCCCCAAUAGUCUUUCGAAUGAAUAUUCGGAUGACUAUUGGUGCCAAAUCUACUGCUCAAAAUGACAAAGCCGAGACCUAAGCUUUAGUUUCACUGGUCUUGGUCGGCUUUAAGAAAACGGUGCUUUAUCAUCCCAGCCACAUAUAUCUCGGCUUCAUGAGCCGACUCUUUACUUUUAUUCGGUUGGUUCGGCUCCUCUUGAACCGAAUAUUUUUCUAUCAAGAAUUUCUCCUUGAAAAAAGUGAUUAUAUCUCGACUUCAUCAGCCGAUUCUUUACUUUCACUAGAUUGGCUCGGCUCUUCUUGAACCGACUGUUCUUCUAUCAAGGAUUUCUCUUUGCCUUUGCUUUAUUUUUUAUAUCGGCUCCAUUGCAGCCGAUUAACUUGAACACCUAGAUCAAAUAGGUUNAAUCUUUUGAACUUUAUUGAGAAAAUUACUUGCUAAUUUAACGAAUUAGAGGGUUUUGAGUUGUGCCAUCGGCAUGGGGGCUGUAUUGUGCCAAAAUCUUGUUGGCACGAUACGGUAUGGUAGAUAUGACCCAUACCGAUGAACACUUAAAUCAUUGUGCCUAAUAUUGGUGAAGCCAAAGUUGGUGGUAUAUGUGAAGGAUGCUGUUGCGUGCCAAAUGUCCCGACCCUUGACCCGGUCAAUAAUUCUCCUCGGGAAGAUCGUCGGGAUGAUACGCGGCCGUUGAUUUGACCCUCGAAGUUUGCGCCCACGACGGAUCAAGUGAUUCGGCCAAUGAGGGAUCGAAUCAGCCGGGUUCGAAAACCUCUACAGUAAAUUCGCUUUGGCAGGAUGAGCCGAAUGGAGAGGGGAAGCCCAGAAUUCGACUAAGAAACGAGCCGAAUGACUAAACAACUCGAGAUCUGAUCGGCAAGAAGAGCCGAAAAUGACUUUCUAUUGAAUAGAAAAUGGAAAAGUACAAGAACAAGGGAGUGAUGCCCGUGGGGCAGACAGACUCCAAAUAUAUUCUACAAGGGAGUGAUGCCCAUGGGGCAGACAAACUCCAAGUACAUUCUAUAAGAGAGUGAUGCCCAUGAGGCAGAUAGACUCCAAAGAUCUAAGUUACAGGAACUACUCCUAGGAAAGCAGUAAAUGCGGAAAAGAAAAAGAUUACAUUUAGACUACUCCUAGAAAAGCGAUAAAAUGCAGAGGAAAUACGGGUGGUCUUUUGUGCGCAGGGGCGAAGACCCCUAUUGCAGGCUUCAAAGUUACUAUUUAUAGCCCACAUUAUUAGUUGGUUGAAAGUAGUUGGGGGGGAGUGGUUGUAACCAUGAUCGUGAAAGUUAUACUAACUCCUCAUGGAAGUUACGCUAACUCCUUAUGGAAGUUACGCCCCAAUCUUCAACCGUUCCCGCCUUCUUGUCCUUUAGGCGCCUUAUUGCCGACUCCUAGUGUACCACGUGUCCUUAUUGGCUCAUACGUGGGUUAGGUCGGCUCAAUUUUGGUAUCAACAAUGCCCCCCCCAAUAGUCUUUCGAAUGAACAUUCGGAUGACUAUUGGUCCCAAAUCGACUGUUCAAAAGCACAGCCGAGACCCAAACUUUAGUUUCGCUGGUCUUGGUCGGCUUUAGGAAAACGGCGCUUUAUCAUCCCAGCCACAUAUAUCUCGGCUUCAUCAGCCAAUUCUUUACUUUUAUUCGAUUAGUUCGGCCCUUCUUGAACCGAAUGUUUUUCUAUUAGGAAAUUCUUCUUAAAGGAAGUGGCUAUAUCUCGGCUUCAUCAGCCGAUUCUUCACUUUCACUCGAUUGGCUCGGCUCUUCUUGAACCGAUUGUUCUUCUAGCAGGGAUUUCUCCUUGCCUUUGCUUUGAUUUUUAUAUCGGCUCAAUUGCAGCCGAUCGUCCUCACUUUUCUUCUAAAAUUGCUCGUAUUGGGCAACUCGAACACCUAGAUCAAAUAGGUUAGAAAAAUACUUAUCUUCAAAAUGGUCUUUUAUCUUAAAAUGUAGACCAUUUAACGCCAUUUUGGCGAACUCUGAUUUCGGCAUUCUCAUAAAGCACCGGGUUUUGGCUAUUUUGAAACGGUCCAAAUACUCUUCGACCGUUUCACCUGACAUUUGUCGGUAUAAAGCCAAGUCGGCGACCGAUAAUUGUGGCUCCGAUCUAUAGAAUCGCUCAUGAAAUUUUCUUUCCAAUUCGUUCCAAUCUUGGACGGAAUUGGCUGAUAAACUUGUAUACCAAGUAAACGCCGUUUUAGUUAACGACGUAUUAAAUAAUCGAAGUUUCAAAAAUGAGUCAGCGGCCGCUUCUCUACAUUGGGCCGUGAACCGGGCUAUAUGCUCGACCGUAUUCUCUGUCUCAUCGCCCGAGAACUUGUCGAAGUUCGGUAUUUUCCAGUUUGCCGGAUAUGGAUGCUCUGUAUCUAUGUUUGCUGGAUACGGGGAUCGAAAAACAGGCCGCAUAGCCGGCCUGGUCCCUACUCCGAAGGUAUUCCGAAUGACUUCCUCAAUCUGAGUAUACAGCGGAGCUUGUGCUUGAGCCGAAUUUGGCCCUUGAGGAACUCCAAAAUUCUAUAUUGCAGGGUUCGCUCCUUGCAUAUCAUUAGGAGCCUGCCCCCCAGCCCUAAUCCCUACAUUUUGGGGUUGAUAAGCUGGUAAAGGAGGUAAACCCGAUGCAAUCUCAGACUGAGGGCCGGCGUUUAUAUUCGCCGGCCUAUAAGCAACCUGGAAAGGUGCCAUUUGCGGUUGCACCUGUGAGACCGCCGGCGUGACGGGAUUUUGUUGUGCUGGCGCAGUUUGGGGUCCCUGUAGCCCCCAAUAAGGUUGCUCGUUUUGGGUAAAUAACUGUCUGAUUCGAACAAUAUUUUCAUUGUAGGCCGUGAUGGCGGCUAGCACCGCGUCUAGUCGAUCGGCACUUUGAUGGAUAUUUUGAUCUACAGUUUGCAAGACUCGGGUCAUCUGGCCGAGUGCCUGAGUUAGACUCGGCUCUUGAUGAGCCGACUGUUCACUAGUCUCUCCUCCACCAGGUAGUACCACCUGAUUCUCAUUUUCGGCGCUACUAGCUUGGUCAUUCCCUGAAGGUCUGGGAAUGGCUCUAUUCCGGAGGUUCAUAGCAUUAUCGUCGGCCAUUAUAUCUUAAUAAAAAGUAAAUUUACCCUAAAUAGAGUCCCACCGGGCGUGCCAAAAAUUGUUGAUAGCCGAAUUUCCCGACCCUUUGAUCCGGCCAAAAAUCCUCCUCGGGGAGCGCGUUGGAGUGAGGAACGGCUGCGGAUGGUGACCCUCGAAGUUUGCGCCCUUCGACAGAUCAAGCGAUUCGGCUGAUGAGGAAUCGGAUCAGCCGAGUUCGAAAACCUUUACUGUAGAAUCGGUUCGGCUGGAGAUGCCGAAUGUAUGAACUGUGCAGGGAUCAAUGUCGGCAGAAGAGCCGAAUAGAAGAAGUACACAGUAACUGAUCGGCUGAAAGAGUCGAAUAAAUGAAAUACACAAUGACUGGUCGGCUGAAAGAGCCGAAUGGAAAAAGUACACAAUGACUGGUCGGCUGAAAGAGCAGAAUGCCUUUAUAUAAUAAUAAAAAAGAGUGUGCCCGAAGGGCAUACAGACUCAGAAAUAUAGUUUACAAUAGAGUGAUGCCCGUAGGGUAGACAGACUCUGCAAAUGUAGUCU
rnacentral:lncRNA from 1 species